AUGGAAUUGAGUUUGUCUCAUACGCUUCACCUUUUUAAUAUCUUUCGUGAGUAUGAUGGAAAGGAUAAUUGUGCUCAAGUGCUAGAAAAAGAAAUCUAUAAAAUGUUUGGCACUAAAUAUUUGAAUGAUGAGCAUGAUUGCAAUGUUGUUAGUAUGAAUCCCUUGAAUAUCCAUGAUGCUAAUGAUAUGCAAAGCCACAAGCUUGGGGAAGCUAUGUUUGAUGAAGAUGAUAUUUUUUGUCCCCCAAGUUUUGAUAAGAAAAUUUAUUAUGAUGAAAGCAUGCCUCCUAUUUAUGAUGAUUAUUGUGAUGACUUGUAUGCUAUUAAGAAUAAUGAUAUCCAUGAAACUUGUCAUCAUGAUUUUAGUUUUCAAUUGGAUUAUGCCUCACAUGAUAAUUAUUUUGUUGAGUUUGCUCCCACUAUUAUUCAUGAGAAGAAUUUUGCUUAUGUGGAGAGUAAUAAAAUGUCUAUGCUUGUAGAUCAUGAAAAGAAUGCUUUAGGUGCUGGUUAUAUUGUUGAAUUCAUUCAUGAUGCUACUGAAAAUUAUUAUGAGGGAUGA
rnacentral:rRNA from 1 species